UCCACUGUGAGGUGGAAUCUGAAGGAAGUCGGCGGCAAAACUCUGGUCUGACGGACAGAAACUACAUAUAAGGCAUAUGUCUGUGGGUAAGUUUGCUAUACAAAACAAAGCCCUAAACUAUCCGAAACAGGCGGUGUAAAUGUAGCAGAUAGAUGGAGUGAAAGAUUGCGUU
rfam:Clostridium pasteurianum BC1 plasmid pCLOPA01, complete sequence.